GACGAACCGUCCAAACGUUAUUCGGAAUUAUUGGGCUUAAAGGGUGCGUAGGCUGUGCAGUAAGUUGGGUGUGAAAUCCCUCGCUCAACCGAGGAACUGCGCCGAAUACUGCUGUGCUAGAGGAAGAUAGGGGUAAGCGGAACUGAUGGUGGAGCGGUGAAAUGCGUUGAUAUCAUCAGGAACACCGGUGGCGAAGGCGGCUUACUGGAUCUUUUCUGACGCUGAUGCACGAAAGCCAGGGGAGCGAACGGG
rnacentral:rRNA from 1 species